rnacentral:rRNA from 1 species
CCUACGGGAGGCAGCAGUGAGGAAUAUUGGUCAAUGGACGAGAGUCUGAACCAGCCAAGUAGCGUGAAGGAUGACUGCCCUAUGGGUUGUAAACUUCUUUUAUAUGGGAAUAAAAUGUUCCACGUGUGGGAUUUUGUAUGUACCAUAUGAAUAAGGAUCGGCUAACUCCGUGCCAGCAGCCGCGGUAAUACGGAGGAUCCGAGCGUUAUCCGGAUUUAUUGGGUUUAAAGGGAGCGUAGGUGGAUUGUUAAGUCAGUUGUGAAAGUUUGCGGCUCAACCGUAAAAUUGCAGUUGAAACUGGCAGUCUUGAGUACAGUAGAGGUGGGCGGAAUUCGUGGUGUACCGGUGAAAUGCUUAGAUAUCACGAAGAACUCCGAUUGCGAAGGCAGUUCACUGGACUGCAACUGACACUGAGGCUCGAAAGUGUGGGUAUCAAACAGGAUUAGAUACCCCUGUAGUC